ACUGGCAGGCUAGAGUCUUGUAGAGGGGGGUAGAAUUCCAGGUGUAGCGGUGAAAUGCGUAGAGAUCUGGAGGAAUACCGGUGGCGAAGGCGGCCCCCUGGACAAAGACUGACGCUCAGGUGCGAAAGCGUGGGGAGCAAACAGGAUUAGAUACCCUGGUAGUCCACGCCGUAAACGAUGUCGAUUUGGAGGUUGUGCCCUUGAGGCGUGGCUUCCGGAGCUAACGCGUUAAAUCGACCGCCUGGGGAGUACGGCCGCAAGGUUAAAACUCAAAUGAAUUGACGGGGGCCCGCACAAGCGGUGGAGCAUGUGGUUUAAUUCGAUGCAACGCGAAGAACCUUACCUGGUCUUGACAUCCACAGAACUUUCCAGAGAUGGAUUGGUGCCUUCGGGAACUGUGAGACAGGUGCUGCAUGGCUGUCGUCAGCUCGUGUUGUGAAAUGUUGGGUUAAGUCCCGCAACGAGCGCAACCCUUAUCCUUUGUUGCCAGCGGUUCGGCCGGGAACUCA
rnacentral:rRNA from 1 species